CCUCAGUCUCCCCCAGCCAAUUCGGCUUCCUGGAGGGUUGCACACACAGCACCCUCCACCCGUGCUCCUGCACGCGCUGCCUGCUCUGCUCGCCUCAUUUCAGGGCGUUGAGCUGUGGGGGUGGGGUCCGGAGCAAGCGAUGGAGCCAAUGAGGCGCGGCGGCUGCGUCGGGCUGACUGACAGCAGCCGCUCAGGUGGAGGCGGUGGCGGCAGAGGGAAUCCUUGCCCAGCAUCCAGCACCUCCUUCCUGUCCAGGAUCACCUUCUGGUGGAUCACAGGGUUGAUCAUCCGGGGCUACCACCAGCCCCUGGAGAGCAGUGGCCUCUGGUCCUUAAAGGAGGAGGACACAUUGGAACAAGUCAUACCUGUUUUGGUAAAGAACUGGAAGAAGAAAUGCACCAAGCCUAGGAAGUAAGUGUGUUUCCUUGUUCUCUAGAAUGCCCCAGUUCCCUCCUUCCCACCCCUGUGGCCUGAAUCCAGGCUGUGGCCCUGGCAAUGCUGCUUGUUGCUAGCUUUGUGGUUCUCGCUUCUCCUCCUGGCUUCAGUUUGUUUUUCUGCCAAAUGGGAUAAAAUCUCACAAGUCAUUAAGGCAACUGAGUAGAAAAGAAGACAGAAGCUGGGCAUGUGCCUCACGCCUGUAAUCCCAGCACUUUGGGAGGCCAGGGUGGGUGGAUCACAAGGUCAGGAGUUUGAGCCCAGCCUGGCCAACAUGACGAAACCCCAUCUCUACUAAAAAUACAAAAAUUAGCUGGGUGUGGUGGUGAGCACCUGUAAUCCCAGCUACUUAGGAGGCUGAGGCAGAAGAAUCGCUUGAUCCCAGGAGGCAGAAGUUGCAGUGAGCCAAGAUUGCACCACUGCAGUUCAGCCUGUGAGACAGAGUUACUCCAUCUCAAGAUAAGAAGAGAGAAAAACGCUGCCCAAGCAGGCAGUUGAUGUUGUUUGCCAUAGCACAUGACUGUCCCUCCUUGAGUCAGUCUCACUUGUUCUGUUUCUUUCUGAGCAUCUGGCAUCCCGCGUGUUCCUGCUGUUUGAAGUGUUUCUGUCCAACACACCCAGCUGACCCUGUACGUUUGUUUAGCCAAAGAAGCCCCAUUUGCAGGUGAUUUUGGCUGUACUGGAUUUUAGACUCUACCCCCUAUGUAAAGCGUGCCCCACUGCACCACCUCUGUCAUUCUUUCGGGAAUCAGGUCAGGGCUUCCACUGCACUUACCUUAACUCUUCAAAUCUGAGACACCAUCAGUUGCAUGAUACAUUAUUAUUGUGUAUCAUAGAAAGAAAAGCAACUGCCAAUUAAACAAGGACGUAAGAUGCAUCCCAAGCCCAGAUGAGCUGGAAGGUGAAAUUGCAAGUGAUGUGGGGGCAGUGGAUUAUGGCCAUGGGGGCAGUAGGGUAGCUGUUUUUGUUUCUGUUGCCUGUUCCAGGGUAAGCUUAUUAUGGUAAACUGUGACAGAGCCAGCCUGGUGCACUGGAUUCUCCACAGACCCGUUGGUCUUACAGAGAAAUCCCCAAACCCAGGUUCAGUUCCUCAUUCUGUUCCAGGGAUGCCCAGGAUACAGGCCUUCCAUCAGACCCAGAUGGUGGGUGGAAAUCUGGGACGUCCAUGGUGCCAACCACUAGGACAUCAGCAGAGGACCUUGUAACCCUGGGGGAGACUGUUUGGGCGGUCCAGGGGAUGGGAGAAAUUGUCUUGUGGGAGACAGAUAGAGCUUGGGCCUCCAUGGCUGAGCAUUGUAAGGACAUGGCCCAUGUCCAUGGCCCAGUUGAAGGUUGUUGGCAGGCAGAGGUGGGGUCCCUGUUUAUUACAUGGAGACAGAACUAGUAGGAUGGAUGGAUGGAUAAAUGAUAGAUUGAUAGAUGAUAGGUAGAUGAUAGAUGGAUAGAUAGUGGAUGGAUACUUGAUAGGUGGAUAGGUAGAUGAUAGAUGGAUGAUUGAUAGAUGAUGGAUGACUGGAUGGAUUGAGGAUGAGAGGGGAUCUACUAGGGAAACUGGAUCAUGUGAUUAUGGAGAAGUCCUAUGCUAGGCCACCUGGAAGCUGGUGAACCUGAGAACUAGUAGCAUGGCUCAGGCCAAGUCUGAAGAUCUCAGACCCAGGGAAGCUGAUGGUGGAAUUCUCAGUCUACAACCAAAGGCCUGAGAACCUGGAGUGACUGGGGUAAUUCCCAGAGUCCAGAGGCCAGAUAGCCUGGAGUUCCAGGGGCAGGAGAGGAUGACAUCCUGGCUGCAGAAGAGAGAUCACAUGAAUUUACCAUUUCUCUUUUUCUUGUGUCUGGACCCUCUGCUGAUUGGGUGGUGCCCAAUCACAUGGGGUGAGGAUGGAUCCUCAUUAAGUCCACUGAUUCAAAUGCCAGUCUCAUCUGGAAACACCCUCACAGGCACCCACACAGAAAUAACACUUUAGCAGCCAUCUGGGUAUCUCUUAACCCCGUCAAGUUUACCCCUAACAUCACCUAUCACCUGGAUUCCUUCAGCCUCGCCUGCAGUGUUUUCCCUGCUAUUAAGGCCACAUUUGUAGCAUGGACUUCAGCAUUCCUCAUCACCAGUGCCUUUGCUGAUCACCUGUCUUGGCUUCUUUUCAUGGAAGAAGGAUGCCCACCUUUGUGUUCUGGAGCUUGCCAGGCGAGCAGUUGUUGGAGACACCAUGGCAGAGGCAGAGCCUCAGGAGGAGGAUGGAGUUUGAAUCAAGAAGCUCCUCCACUGACCUGGC
rnacentral:lncRNA from 1 species